rnacentral:rRNA from 1 species
AUUGAACGCUGGCGGCAGGCCUAACACAUGCAAGUCGAGCGGUAACAGGAAAGCGCUUGCGCUUUUGCUGACGAGCGGCGGACGGGUGAGUAAUGUCUGGGGAUCUGCCCGAGGGCGGGGGAUAACCACUGGAAACGGUGGCUAAUACCGCAUAAUGUCGCGAGACCAAAGUGGGGGACCUGAAAGGGCCUCACGCCAUCGGAUGAACCCAGAUGGGAUUAGCURGUAGGUAGGGUAAUGGCCUACCUAGGCGACGAUCCCUAGCUGGUCUGAGAGGAUGACCAGCCACACUGGGACUGAGACACGGCCCAGACUCCUACGGGAGGCAGCAGUGGGGAAUAUUGCACAAUGGGCGCAAGCCUGAUGCAGCCAUGCCGCGUGUAUGAAGAAGGCCUUCGGGUUGUAAAGUACUUUCAGCGGGGAGGAAGGGUGUAGCCUGAACAGGG